rnacentral:piRNA from 1 species
UNUUGAAACUUAAGGAUGUUAGCCUUCUA